GAUGAACGCUAGCGGCAGGCUUAAUACAUGCAAGUCGUGGGGCAGUAGGUCUGUAGCAAUACAGAUGCUGGCGACCGGCAAACGGGUGCGGAACACGUACACAACUUUCCUUUAAGUGGGGAAUAGCCCAGAGAAAUUUGGAUUAAUACCCCGUAACAUAGUGAACAGGCGUCUUGUUAUUAUUAUAGCAUCAAUGCGUUUAAUAAUGGGUGUGCGUCUGAUUAGGUAGUUGGCGGAGUAAUAGCCCACGAAGCCUACGAUCAGUAACUGGUGUGAGAGCACGACCAGUCACACGGGCACUGAUACACGGGCCCGACUCCUACGGGAGGCAGCAGUAAGGAAUAUUGGGCAAUGGACGCAAGUCUGACCCAGCCAUGCCGCGUGGAGGAUGAAGGUCCUCUGGAUUGUAAACUUCUUUUAUCUGGGAAGAAAUCCAUCUUUUCUUGGGUGGUUGACGGUACCAGAUGAAUAAGCACCGGCUAACUCCGUGCCAGCCGCCGCAGUAA
rnacentral:rRNA from 1 species